rnacentral:rRNA from 1 species
AGGACGAACGCUGGCGGCGUGCUUAACACAUGCAAGUCGAACGGUGACCCAGGGCUUGCCCUGGUGAUCAGUGGCGAACGGGUGAGUAACACGUGGGCAACCUGCCCCAGACUCUGGGAUAACUCCGGGAAACCGGGCUAAUACCGGAUACGAAUCGAGUUGGCAUCUUCUCGAUUGGAAAGUUUUUCGGUCUGGGAUGGGCCCGCGGCCUAUCAGCUUGUUGGUGGGGUAAUGGCCUACCAAGGCGACGACGGGUAGCCGGCCUGAGAGGGCGACCGGCCACACUGGGACUGAGACACGGCCCAGACUCCUACGGGAGGCAGCAGUGGGGAAUAUUGCGCAAUGGGCGAAAGCCUGACGCAGCGACGCCGCGUGAGGGACGACGGCCUUCGGGUUGUAAACCGUCUUUCAGCAGGGAUGAAGCGAAAGUGACAGUACCUGCAGAAGAAGCACCGGCUAACUACGCGCCAGUAGCCGC